GACGGAGGGUGCUAGCGUUGUUCGGAAUGACUGGGCGUAAAGGGCGCGUAGGCGGCUCGUGAAGUCGGGUGUGAAAGCCCGGGGCUCAACCCCGGAACGGCAUCCGAUACUGGCGGCUUGAGACCGGGAGAGGAGGGUGGAAUACCCAGUGUAGAGGUGAAAUUCGUAGAUAUUGGGUGGAACACCGGUGGCGAAAGCGGGUCUCUGGGCCGUAACUGACGCUGAGGAGCGAAAGCGUGGGGAGCGAACAGG
rnacentral:rRNA from 1 species